CUAAAUAUCUGGGCACCCUGCGCCCCAGUCAAGUUGACACAUAAAAAUGAACCAUUACAGGGUUCCUGUCAGGAUGUUUCCUGUGUAUGUGCGUAUAUGUGAUACUACAUGUCAUUAGUAGCUUGUUUUUUCACUCUCCAGUGUCUCAUUGAUCCAAUCUAUGCUAUUUCCUGAGAGGUUUUACUUCACUGAAUUUAGCAGGGGUAGAGAAUUCCAAAGUAUGGAUGUGCCAUAUAUUAUUUAAUCAUUCUCUGUGGUGGGUGAGUAGUUGCUAUUUUUGUUUGUUUUCACAUAUAAUGUUUCAAGCAAUUUUUGUUUCUAAGCUUGUGCUGGGUCAAGACUUCCCAAUUUUCAGCUGCAAAUUUUUCUAGGACUUUUCCUUCAAAAUGUAUGUAAUUGGCAUUAAAUUUAAAAAUUAUGACAGAAAUAAUACAUACAAUUUAAAGUCUUGUAGGGCUGGAAGCAGUUACAGGAACUGUUUCCUUCAGCCACUCCUGCUGCUUAGAGAAACCACUUUUAGUGUUUUAGCUGUUUCCCUUAGUGUUGACAUUUGUACUUCUAAAUAAUAUACACAAACUGGUAUCUCUUUAUUUAUCAGUUGUAGACAUUAUUUAGUCACUUUUCAUCACGUAGGUGGGCACAAUUUUCCAAUUUAGCCUAUAGCAAUCUUUGCUUAAAUCCUAAUUCAGAAUCUGUGUCAGUUAUGGCUGUGUCAAUAUUGUUAACUGCUGAACCAAGUAGUAUAAUCUGAUUACAUUUCCUUUCUUGCACAACUUUUGUUUCUUCUGAAGUUAAUAGUUGAAAAAUUUGCUUCAUAUUCUUUGAAACAAUUGCAAAGUCUUCCUUAACUGUAAAAAGGCUGACAACAUAAUUUUCUGCACGUGCAAACUGGUCACAUAGCCAGUACUUCAGUUGUAGUUUUUUCCUAGAGCCACCAGGGUGAAUCCAAGUUUUAUGGGGGCUGAAAUGUACACAAUUUUGGAGAGGCCUCCUUAGGAAAAAAUACAAAAUUAUGAAUACAAAAUUAAGCAUAAAAUUGCUAUUUACUUAGGAAAAAAAACAAGCUGAAAGCUACCGUAAACAUCACAAAAUACAGAAAACUGAUAUAAUAUUUUUAAUAAUCUUCCAACACACCUGUGAAAUCCAUUUUCCCCACACUUCUUGGCUGCAUACUUACUGUUUACUUCUGCAUGUGACAAAGGUGUUGUAAGGUGACUUUCCACAGAGAGAAGAGAAGGAUAAUUGAGGAUUUCCUCUAGCAUGUUUCUUCUUUACUACUGAUGUCAGUGCUUCAGGGAAGCUCAUGGCCCACCUUCAUGUCACCCCCAAGUGAGUCUACACAGUGGAUGCCAACAGUGCCUGUGAAAGCCAUGCCUGGGCAGAAAUUUGGCUGAAUUCCCCAAACUGAGAAUGAUUGUUGGGAGAGGAACGCUUCUCCAUGCCCCAUUGGCCAGAUGAUGGAGUCCAAAGGGAACCAAUGUAGAGACUGGAGUUGUCUUCAAGGGCGUAAGACAGGCCUGUCACUACCAGGCCAGAUAGUAGUUAAGCUGCACACUCUAUUGGACUGCUAUUUGAGAAGAGCAAGAAGAGUUUGCAGGGAGGCUGUGGAUGUGUGCUGAGGAGUUUUGGAGUAACCAUGGAGAAAUAGACUCGUCCUUGACAGAAGUCUGAAGACAUAAACCUGGGCUGGAGCUGCCCCAUUCAUCAGUUGAUUGGGUUACACUUGGUUAUCUGUCAGGGAACCUGUGAGCCGAGUGGACCCUAUGGAUAUCAAGCUUGAACCACCUAGAGAGGACCCUGCCCAAGA